GACGAACCGUGCGAACGUUGUUCGGAAUCACUGGGCUUAAAGGGCGCGUAGGCGGACCACCAAGUCCGGGGUGAAAUCCCUCGGCUUAACCGGAGAAUUGCCUGGGAUACUGGUGGUCUUGAGGGAGGUAGGGGCACGCGGAACUUCCGGUGGAGCGGUGAAAUGCGUUGAUAUCGGAAGGAACGCCGGUGGCGAAAGCGGCGUGCUGGCCCUCUUCUGACGCUGAGGCGCGAAAGCCAGGGGAGCGAACGGG
rnacentral:rRNA from 1 species